rnacentral:rRNA from 1 species
UACGUGGGGUGCAAGCGUUAUCCGGAAUUAUUGGGCGUAAAGAGCUCGUAGGCGGUUUGUCGCGUCUGCCGUGAAAGUCCGGGGCUCAACUCCGGAUCUGCGGUGGGUACGGGCAGACUAGAGUGCAGUAGGGGAGACUGGAAUUCCUGGUGUAGCGGUGAAAUGCGCAGAUAUCAGGAGGAACACCGAUGGCGAAGGCAGGUCUCUGGGCUGUAACUGACGCUGAGGAGCGAAAGCAUGGGGAGCGAACAGG